rnacentral:rRNA from 1 species
UACAGCCAUAUCAUGUUAAAACCUUGGUUCCUGUACGAUCACCAAAGUUAAGCAACAUUGAGCCUGAUCAGUACCUAGAUGGGUAACUGCUUGGGAGUACCAGGUGCUGUAA